GUGUGUGUGUGUGUGUGUGUACAAGAUUAUAGCUCAUGAAAGGAAAGAGGCUAAAAUACUUUAAUUUUGCAGUGAAAUUUAUUAAUUCCUGAAAUCUUCUUGUUAUGAGAUGACUUUCCUACAUUAGGCUUCCUAUGAUCUAUUUGGUAUGAGUUGAUAUCUAUUUGUAAAUUUCCCAUGAAAUAGUUGUCACAGGUUGACUUAUCUUUUUUCAAUUUUCCUGAAUAAGAUCCCUAUUUUUCCAAAUUUAAUUCAACUUUAUGUCUUUAUCACUCCUAUUCGAUUUUUUUUUCUUUUCCCGUCCAUUUUUUUUCUUUCUUCUUUUUCUAUAUUCCCCUUUGUUUCUAUCUCUUGUCUAGGUGCUUUUUUGCUCUUUUUCUUUUGGACGUUUUCACUUGCUUUUUGCCUAACUUUUAUUGAAGAAAAUGCUAGUAGGCUACUCGUUAAUCUAGCUUGUAUGAAUUGAUAUU
rnacentral:misc_RNA from 1 species